UACGUAGGGUGCGAGCGUUAAUCGGAAUUACUGGGCGUAAAGCGUGCGCAGGCGGUUUUUUAAGACAGGCGUGAAAUCCCCGGGCUUAACCUGGGAACUGCGCUUGUGACUGGAAGGCUAGAGUACGGCAGAGGGGGGUGGAAUUCCACGUGUAGCAGUGAAAUGCGUAGAGAUGUGGAGGAACACCGAUGGCGAAGGCAGCCCCCUGGGCCGAUACUGACGCUCAUGCACGAAAGCGUGGGGAGCAAACAGG
rnacentral:rRNA from 1 species